GGUGUACAUCUGCUCCUCUGCUCCCCUUCAUUGCCUCUCGGGUGAAAACCCUAACUCCGGUGGGCGGCGGGGACGUCCUUGAUGUCGUGACCUUCCUGAAGGCGUCGCCUUGAGGGCUGAGUGGUGGUGGGCACUGUGUGGGUCCUGAACGGUUGCUGGUGGUGGGCACUGCUUCUGGGGAAACCCUAGGAUCUGGUCUUCCAGAUCGAACGAUGGCGG
rnacentral:lncRNA from 1 species